AUGACUCAUCUAGGGCAUUUCAGCCGUCAAAAGACUUCCGACUCAUGGUAAGGUAACUGCAUCUGGUCGGACAUGACUCAUCUAGGGCAUUUCAGCCGUCAAAAGACCUCCGACUCAUGGCAAGGUAACUACAUCAAAUCAGAUAUGAUUCAUCUGGGGCAUUUCAGCCGUCAAAAGACCUUCGACUCAUGGCAAGGUAAUUGCAUCAAAUCAGAUAUCAUUCAUCUGGGGCAUCUUAGCUGUUAAAGGGUUUCCGAUCUGAAGCGUCUGCAAAUCAAAGACUCAGAACAGUGAAAUUCAAAGUUGGUAGAGGAAACAGUGGUUAUUGUGUUCAAUGUACCCUUUCCAUUUAAUUACCAUUUUCCAAACUUUUAAAAUCCGUGGAACCACGCCUUUGGCAGGCCACCACUCCAUUUACAUUAACUUGAGCUUGUGCCCAUUUAUUUGAAAUUCUCAUUUAUUCUGUUUGCAAACUUUUCUUCUAUUUUUGAUGUUAAUACCUAAAGCAAAAAAAAA
rnacentral:lncRNA from 1 species